UUCAUAUUUUAAGUAUAGCUGCAAAUCUCUUUUUACCUGCACAUCCUCACAGGUGCUAUCCUGCUAACUGCUGUACUGUAACCAAUCCCUGAAGAUCAAAAUAAUCUAUUUUUUAUUUAGAUUCAGAGAUGAGGUCAACUAGGACCUCAAAACAUCAAUAAACAGAGUCAAAAUUAGUCUGUAUAGCUGAGUCUACCAUAAAAUGUUAGAGAAAAUUAAACACAGAAGUGAAAAGGCAUAAAAUAAUUUAGAUGAAUGCUACUGCUAAGAAAAAGAACAGACAUGUGACGAGUCUUUCCUCACAAUAUCAUCUGGUCUUAACGGGAAGUUUAUCUUCCACUUCCUAGAGCAAACUUACAGUUCUCCUUCUGCAGAAAGCUUAUAAAUGUCUAUGAGAACUCAGUCGCUAAGGCUCUAACCCAUUAAGAUUAAUAUGUCACUUUACUGUUAAGAAGAGGCCAUCUAGUUAAAAAGAAACACCAACAUCUCAAAAUAAAGGACAAGUAUGAGAUCAAAGUUUGCAGGUGACAUCCUCACAUACAAUUUUAUUUCCAAAUUAUAGCUCAGGGUUCAUUCACAGAUCAUGAAAAAAACAUAGUUCCAUAGAUUUUUAGAACCAAUCUGAAGAAGCUGAAAAUUGCCACAGUUCCCUGAGAGUUCAAAGCAAGAUAAAAUCAUAGAAUCAUAGAAUAGUUUGAGUUGGAAGGGACCUUUAUGAUCAUGUAGUUCCAACCCCCCUGGUAUAGGCAGGGACACCUCCCUCCAGACCAGGUUGCUCAAAGCCGCAUCCGGCCUGGCCUUGAAUGUUUCCAGAGAGGGGGCAUUCACAAAAGGAAAAAAAAAGAACAGUGAUGAAAAAAGAAUACGCACAUUUACAUGGCUCCUGCAACAAGACAUGAACUCAGCAACAACCUACAUAAGCAAGGCUUUCUUGUCUAUGAAAUUAUCUUUGCCUCAAAGAUAAUUGUGCUUUGUGAUACUAAGCACUCAGGCAUAUUCAAGUUAUUCUCAGAAAUAAUAAUACAAUACUUAAUAAAGACCCAUCUGAGGUUUUGAUGGAAAUGUGAAUUUAAUUUCAUAAAAAUAAUUAAACUGCUCAGCUUCCUAUUAUUUCUGAGGUUUUCUGUGCUCAAUUCACCUAUUCUGGGAGUCACCUCUUUUUAUUUUUAUUGCUAUUUAAUAAGUGCUAUCACUCCAUGCUGUACAAAACAAUGAAGUGCAGCUGAGGACUCAAAGCCAGCCUAGGUGGGAGGGGGUGGAAAAUGUUCACAGAAACACCUGGACUCACUGCAGGAAAGUCUAUUUCAAGGACAUGUAGAAACGACGAUAGAAAAUUAAGCAACUUUUAAUAUGCACCAGGAAAAUAAUGCAUCUGAUAUUGCACAGUAAACUAAUACUUCAGCAUCAUACUAAUAUUUUACUUGUACUUUACAAACUAAUGAUUUAGCAUCAGUGUCCAGACAUCAUUUAGUCUCUGAUAAUAGCUCACUCUAGAAAAAUAGCCAGAAAAACAAUAUAUGUAUUUUGACAUCAAUGUGAUAAUAUGCAAACUGCACCAAAAACUUUCAAAUGCCACAGAGUAGUCCAGCAGAGGUGGACAAAAGAAUGAGGCAGAGGACGUUACGAACAUUUCUACUUUUGUUGUCUUAAAGCAUAUACCUACGUUACAUCCAAGAGCUCUCAACUGUGGGAGUCAACAUUGUUGGUAGUAUUUAGUUUGCAUCAUAUUCAGGGUUUAAAUUUCCCUUUGAACAAUUAAUUAUUAUACAAUCAAACAGUCUGAAUUUAAUACACCAAAAUGCUGAUUUCUUGCUGACUUAGCCUGGAAGGUAUUUGUAUAAGUUCAUAAUGCCAUCCUGACUAAAGCAGCCAACAACUCCAUUAAUCUAUUAUUAAUUAUGAGAUCUUAUGAGAGAUAUUCUGACUAGAUCUCUCAAGAUCAUCAAAAACAGUUUCAUGUUUUAAGUUAGAAAUAAAACAUUUGAAAUGAUUUGGAAGGAAAGAAGG
rnacentral:lncRNA from 1 species